GUACUGGGCCUGGCCACACCACCCGCUGUGGGAUCUGGCCUGGAUGAAAGGAAGGGAAGUUCCCCAGGAUCACCAAACUCUUUAGAAGCAGUAGAUCCAGGGCGUUCUCGGGGCCACAGAAGGCUAUCCAUGGGACUCCGGCGAGCCGCAGGAGGCAGGUCAGGGGGCAACUCAGGAAUGCAGGUAUAAACCAUCAUGUCUGGAACCAAGGCUACCUUGCCAGUCCCUACCCACCUGUCUGAGAGCUGCCGGACUUUUGCUGCUCGGCCACCCGUUGCUGCUGCUGCUGCUGCUGCUGCUGCUCCUGUUGCUCCUGCUGCUCCUGCUGCAGCCGCCUUCGGUCCUUUAAGGGCUGGCGGAACUGAGCCGCCCCCCAGACAACAUUCCGGAGCUUGGCCCAGCGUAGGCGUCCACCCGGAGUACCAGAUGGCCAUUUGCUUUCCAGCACAGCCUGCCAAUCACAGUGCCGGCCAGGAUGGCCUAGUGAUGCCUUUCCUGCCCGUCCAGAACCCUGGGGACUACCUUUCUCUCCAGACUUGCUCUCUAGGACUCACUCAGAAACAAAAGCCCCCAAGAGCCAUUAUCGUUAGUAAUGGAGAAAAGUCUAUGUAGAGCAUUCUAUUAGUUUGUUUAAGAAUUUAUGUACUUAUUUAGGCAGGGUCUCACUAUGUAGCCCUGGCUGGAACUCACUAUGUAGAUCAGGCUGGACUUGAACCCAUGAUAGCCUCUUGCUUCUCCCUCCUGACUGCUGGGAUUAAAGUUGUGCAUCAACAUGCUAGCUAGACUAUUUAUAAACUGAAUAGCUUUGAAGAAAUUAUCUCAGCUACUUGACUAUUUA